CCCGCAGGGCUCCGGGCGGCCGUGACCCUGCUGGAGUGCGGGGGGGACCUCCAGCCCCCCGGGGGGUCCCUGCGCCUCCUCUGCCGAGGGUCCGGGUUCAGUUUUGGGAGCUACGACAUGAACUGGAUCCGCCAGAGACCCGGGCAGGGGCUGGAAUGGUUGGCAGGGAUCAGCAAUGAUGGUUCCAGCACCGCCUACGCGCCAUCGUUCAAGGGCCGGUUCACGAUCUCCAGGGACAACGGGCAGAGCUCGGUGACGCUGACCAUGAACAACCUCAAGGACGAGGAUUCCGGAUCCUAUUUCUGUGCCAGGCCCCGCCCACCGUGGGUCGCUAUUGACGCCUGGGGCAGCGGCACGACGGUGACGGUGUCGAGCGCGGGCGCCCGCGCCCCGGACCUGUUCCCGCUGUCGCCGUGCGGCGCCGGCGCCUCGCUCUUCUCGGUGGGCUGCGUGGCCGUCGGCUUCGCGCCCGCGCCCGUGGCCUUCGCCUGGAGCGACGCGCGGACCGCAGCGCCGACGGCGCCGCCUUCCCGGCCCUGCCGCGCUCUUCUGGAAAUUCCGGAACGUUCCCUGGCGGCGUCGAGGUUGGGGAUGGGGAUGGAGGAGGGAAAGGCGCGGCAGCCAUUCCGCUGCCACGCCCGGCACGCCCGCGGAGAGAGGAGCGUCCAGGUGACAAACCCAGGCCCCGGCUCCCCGGCCCUGUCGCCGCCGUCGCUGUCGCUGCGCCCGCCGUCGCGCGAGGAUUUCCAGGGCCCCUGGCGCAACUCCUCGCUGCUGUGCCAGGCCCGCGGCUCCCGGCGCGGCCUGGGCGCCGCCCCCAUCCGCUGGCUGCGCAACGGCGCCCCCGUGCGCCAGGGCGUCACCGCGCUGCCGCCGGCGCCCGAACCCCGGGCUCUUCGUGGCCGGCAGCCGCGUCGAGCCGUCAGCGAGGCCGACUGGAGGCGGCGCCGUCUUCACCUGCCAGGCCGGCGGCGAGAUGAGGAACACAGCAGCAAGGCCAUGGAGUGCGGAUACGACCAACCGCUGGCCGCCGCCGACCUGCGCGUGGAGCCGGUGCCGCCGUCCUUCGCCGACGUCUUUCCGGGAGCGGGCGGCGCGCCUCACCUGCCGCGUCUCCAACCUGGCGCCGCCGCUGGACGGCCUCGAGAUCACGUGCUGGACGGCGAGCGGCCAUUGGCCACGGCCACGGCCCCGCCCACCCUGCAGGCCAAUGGGCUGCUGCAGGCCGAGGGCGUGGCCAGCGUGGCGGCCGAGGCCUGGGAGUCGGGGCGCGAGUUCACGUGCCGCGUGGCGCACCCCGAGGCGCUGCUCUUCCCCAGGGAGGUCACCAUGAGGAAGGCCACCGUUCCGGACGCGUCCCCGCCCAACGUGUACCUGCUGGCCCCGCCCGCCGAGCAGCUCCGCCUGCGCACCUUGGGCCACGCCCACCCCCCAAAUUCCGGACGCGUCCCCGCCAACGUCUACCUGCUGGCCCCGCCCGCCGAGCAGCUCCGCCUGCGCACCUGGGCCACGCUCACCUGCCUCGUUCGCGACUUCAACCCGCCCGACCUCCUCGUCCAGUGGCUGCAGGACGGGCGGCCCCUCCCGCCGGGCCGCGCCCUCACCUUCCGGCCCCGCCCCGACGCCGGCCACGCCCCUUCCGGCCGCGCCCACCUGGCGCUGAGCGCGCUGACGGUGCCGGCGCGCGACUGGGAGGGCGGCGCCGUCUUCACCUGCCUGGUGGGGCACGAGCGGCUCCCGCUGGGGCUGGCGCAGCGCUCGCUGGACAAGGCCUCGGGUAAACCCGCCAGCGUCAACGUCUCGCUCAUUUUUAGCGAUGCUUUUGACGGACCAGGUUUUCCCAAAAAAUGA